CGUGGACUCUGCGGGCGGGGCGCCCGUAGUCUCCCUCCUUCGCACCCCGGGCGCCUGGGAACCUCCUCGCGCGUUUGGCCACUCGCUGCUCCUGGCAGUAGGGGCUUCGGGCCCCGCCGCUGUCCCCACCCAGACCUCUGGGCCUGUGGUGGGAGGGACUGAGGAAGAUCUCUGAAAUGCCCUGGAGACAUUUUCCCUACUGUCUUGGCUAUACUCCAGUGCCCCUUCAGACAAUUGGUGAAGGGCCAUUAAACAGAAAAAAAAAAAAGUUGGUGAGGAAGAAAAAGGCUCAAUUAAAAAGCUCCAAAUAUGACCCUGCUCUACUACUGUGAACUGAGUACUAUGUGCUUGGAUGUGUUAAGGACGGAGGCCAUUGCCAUGUGAAGAAGAAGCAAGUCACUAAGUCCAGUCCGCACCAAAGGGGAAAAGAAUUAAGUCCCACUUCCCAGAGGAGGUGUAUCAAAGAAUCUGUGGACAUCUGUUAAAACCACCAUGGUCAUUAAUAUUUUGAAGAAAAUGCUUUAAGGCUAUCCAAAUGUUGUGUUGCUCCUUAACAUUUCAUUCACUCUUUUAGCAUUCAUCAGUGGAUCUUGCCUUUUUAACAUAAAUAAUGUCACAUUAGCCAUUGUUUGACAAAAUACAUAAUGUCAAUAAGCUAUUGUGAAAUCAGGUCUUGUAUUGUACUAACCACAAUAAAAUCUACACGGUCUAGAUGAAUUUAAAAGGUAUUGCAUUCAGGGCUGAUUCAGAGCUGGGACCUGUGGCCAUAUUAGCUUAAUUAUUGAAAUACAUCUGUCCCUACUCUGUUCUAAGUCCCAUUUCUGCCCAACUCUUGGGAAACCUCUCCACAGUUAAAAACAACUUUCUAGACAUUUCUGUUAAGUAUACUGUGGUAUUAUGACAUAUAUUGGUUUUUGUGCACAGUUCCGGGUUCAUAACUCCCAUAGCCCUUGUUACAGUCUUUUGUUACAAUGUUGGGCGUGUUAGGCCUCAGGGGCAGGCCUCAGGAAACAGAAUCUCUCUUUCUUCUGCCCUCCUUUCAUCUGCCCCAAGGCAGGCCUCUAAUCUACCCCCACCUUUCUGACUAUGAGUAUUAAGACCCUGUACACACUGAGGAAAGGAAUGCUGAUGUCAUGAAGCUUCUAUAAAAACCCAAAAGGGCCAGGUGUGGUGGCUCACACCUGUAACCCCAGCACUUUGGGAGGCUGAGGUGGAAGGCUUGAGCCCAGGAGUUUGAAACUAGCCUGGGCAACAUAAUGGAACCUGGCCUCUACCAAAAAAAAAAUUAAAAAAUUAGCCAGGCAUGAUGGUAAAAGUCUUUAGUCCUAGCUACUUGGGUGGCUGAGGUAGGAGGAUCACUUGAGCCCAGGAGGUCAAGGCUGCAGUGAGCUGUUAUCCAUGCCACUGCACUCCAGCCUGGGCCACAGAGCAAAAACUUGUCUACAAAAAAAGAGAAAACAUGGCCAGGCACAGUGGCUCAAGCCUGUAAUCCCAGCACUUUGGGAGGCCAAGACAGGAGGAUCACCUGAGGUCAGGAGUUCUAGACCAGCCUGGUCAACAUGGCGAAACCCCAUCUCUAGUAAAAACACAAAAAAUUAGCUGGGCGUGGUGGUGGGCGCCUGUAGUCCCAGCUACUUGGGAGGCUGAGGCAGGACAAUCUCUUGAACCUGGGAGGCAGAGGUUGCAGUGAGCCGAGAUCAUGUCACUCCACUCCAGCUUGGGCAACAGAGCAAGACUCUGUCAAAAAAAAAGAAAGAAAGAAGGAAAGAAGGAAGGAAGGAAAGAAGGGAGGGAGGGAAGGAGAAAGGAAGGAAGGAGAAGAGAGAGAAAGAGAGAGAAAGAAAAUAAAAAUAAAAAACAAAACAAAAAUACCCAAGAGGACUGGGUUGGGAGAGCUCCGGGUAGCUGAACACGUGGAGGUUCCUGGAGGGUGAUGUGCCCAGGGAGGACAUGGAAGCUCUGAGUCCCUUCUCCCAUACUUUGCCCUCCACGUCUCUUCAUCUGUAUCCCUUGUAACAUCCUUUAUAAUAAAGCAGUUAACAUGUUUCCCUGAGUUCUGUGAGCCGCUCCUGCAAAUUAAUCCAACCCAAAAAGGGGGUCAUGGGACCACAACUUGAAGCCAAUCCCCGCACUGGCUUCAGGAAGUUUUGGAGGCCCGGACUUGCAACUAUUUCCCAGGGACUAGGGAAAAAGAGAAGAGAAGUGUCUAGGGAUGGGAGGACCGUCCUGGGGACUGAGCUCUCAACUGUGGGAUCUCACGUUAUCUGCAAAGAGACAGUGUUGGAAUUGAAUUG
rnacentral:lncRNA from 10 species